rnacentral:misc_RNA from 1 species
CCUCCCACACAGCUGAUGUAUCUCCUGUUUUCCCGCCAACCUCAGAAGCAUCAAGACCCAGGCGACGCUCUGACACGGAGGAGGAAUUUUACGUUUUUAAAGUCAAUUUUUACUUCAUUUGUGAUAUAUAAGACUGCUUAUAUAAAGAUGCCAACAAAACAAGAAAUCAUCAACUUCCCCAUCCGCAAGAGCCGCACAGCUAGCAUGAAGGCAGAAAAAACAGAAGAGAUCCUGCCAAUCAGAAGAAGCUCCAGGGCUCGCACUGUCAAAGAAAAUCUCUGUGAUAGUCCAAGGAGAUCAACAAGAGCAACUAAAGAUGCGUGUGACAGUCCUCGUAGGUCAUCUCGCAGAACAGAAACUCCUACAAGGGUCUCAAGAGCUGCGGCUCAAGAAACUGAUGUGCUUACUCCGAGCAAGAGGAAAGCAAACAUGUCUGAAGUCGAGCCUGAACACUUGAUGUGCAGUCCAAGUAAACAUCUGGUUGUUGAAUUGGCUCGAUUACCAGAAUCAAUAUCCAGCCCAGUCAAGUUGCCACUCAAAGUAUGUCGUCAGCUUCUCAACGAAGAUUCCAAACAGGAAAAUUCGGAGAACACACACAAAGUACUGCCAGACAAAACCAUUGAAGAUCUACCACUAAGCCCAGUUAAAUUUUAUCCAGCAGCAAAUUCUCCUGCAAAGAUUCAAAAUGGUUCAAAUAGCCCCCUUAAAUCAUCCAAUAUUAUCAAUAUUGCAAGUCCUAGGAAAAAUAUUAGCAGUUUGAUCUCUAGUCUUCAAAGUCCAUCUAAAUCCCCUGUAAAGUCUAUAAGGUUGGACAGUCCUGUUAAAUCACCAUUGAAACGCCUUGUACUGGAAAGAUCUGCCAAGUCCCCCUCGAAAGUGAUGAGCAGCCCAGCUAAAUCUCCCCUCAAACGGCUUGUUAUGGAUGGACCAAUGAAGUCACCCCUAAAGAAUUUAGAUUUUGGUAGUCCCAGGAGAUCGCCACGUAAGCUAGACCAGGAGAAUGCCCAGAGUCCACGUAGAACUCCAAGGAAACUUGCCAUGUCGCCACUGAAGUUUAGUAGUCCCUCCUCCAUGAUAUCAAAACUCUCACUGGCAAGCCCCACAAACAGUAGAAAGAAUGCAGCUGUUGGUAUCUCCAAGCCUAAUGUUACAGCAUACAGAGCAGUUCGUCAGAGUCUCAACACAGGAACUCCCACUACCUUGGUGUGCAGGGAGAAACAGGUGUCAGAAAUGGAGUCAUUUAUGAAGGAGCACCUUCUAAAUGUUAAGCCUGGAUCAUUGUAUGUCUCUGGAGCACCAGGGACAGGAAAGACUGCAUCUCUAAACUCAAUUAUUGAUAGUAUGAAGCUUCCAAGCAUCAAAAAGGUGUUCCUAAACUGCAUGACCCUUAGAACUGCCGGUGCCAUAUAUGCCAAGAUUGUGUCAGAGUUGGGCCUCCAGCAAAGAGGAACAGAGAGGGAAAACAUUAAGGCUAUAGAGAAGACUCUGACAUCUGGGAAGAAUCCAGUGCUAAUUAUGCUUGAUGAGAUUGACCAGCUUGACAGCAGGAACCAAGAAGUCCUCUACUCCAUCUUUGAGUGGCCAGCAUUAGCAGGAUCCAAGCUGGUGCUAGUGGGUAUUGCUAAUGCCCUCGACCUGACUGAUCGUAUAUUGCCCAGACUCCAAGCCAGGCCAACGUUCAAGCCCAAAUUGCUUCACUUCCCUCCAUACUCCAAAGCUGAAAUUAUUAAGAUCAUCAAUCAGAGAAUCCAAGAGGCAGGACUUGGAGACGUUCAGGUGAUAAAACCAACAGCUGUAAUGUUUUUAGCUGGCAAGGUAGCAUCUGUUGCUGGAGAUGUUCGCAAGGCUUUGGAUGUAUGUAGAAGAGCUGUGGAACUCUGUGAAAUACAGGCACGGAGGCAGAGCGUUUUAAAACCUACAAAUGGAAGUCCCUCCAAGUCUCCAACAAAGAGACCAAGCCCUCCCCCAAUGAAGAUGGUUGAGGUACCACAGGUAUUGGCCAUCUUUAACGAGGUAUAUGGGUCUCGCGUUAUCUCAGCUGUAACAGAUGCCCCAGAUAGCUUUCCUCUGCAACAAAAAGUGUUGAUAUGUAGUCUGCUCUUGAUUAUGAAGCAUGCCAAGUCAAAGGAUCUUAAUCUUGGCAAGUUCCAUGAUGUAUACACCAAAAUUUGUAAGAAACGGAAUCUUCCCGGCAUAGACCAGAGUGAAUUCCUGUCACUUUGCACGUUGCUGGAGUCUCGCGGGAUGCUCCAGAUUAAGAAAGCAAAAGAAAUUCGCAGUUCGAAGGUAAUUCUACGUCUUAAUGUUGACGAAGCAGAGCAGACCUUGGGCGACAGAAAUCUCUUGGUAGCGAUACUAGAAGAUAAGGAGAGCUUAGGAAAAUUAUGUAAGCAGUGAUUGAUUUGAUCACUGGGUUUUAGAGAACUCAUAAUGUGUAUAUAUACAGCAUCUCAUUCCCACUCAUUUCAUUAAAUAGGCAAUUUGAUCAUGGUCAUUUAUGAAUCAUUGAAUUUAUUUUAUACUGUGCCUUGAAUUUAUUGUAUGUUGUCUAUGACACAGCUUUUCUUGUGUUGGAUUGACUGUUGUCAUGUGUUUUAGCUCAGUGAAAGAAAUAAGAGAAGAUAUUGUUUUAAGUAUGCCUGCAUGUAUGUUGUUUUGAUGCCUAUGGUUGCAUGCCAAAGAUAUUGUUUUGUUGAAAAGGCAUAUGUGUGUCCGAUUGCUAUAUUGUAAAAAAUUUUUUUUUAUAAAGUGUGCAUGUUUUAAAAGCAAGAGGUGUGCAAAUGAGUUUGCAAUUUUCAGUACUAUUUUUUAAAUAUGAAUUUGAAGUUACAAUAUAGUUUUCAUACUAGACUCUAAUGAUCAUAUACAUUGAGAAUUAUUUAAAGAGUGAAAAGUAAUUAUAAACAAUGCACAGAAUGUACAUGGUGCUACAAAGGAUAAACAAAACUACUCUCAUGUACAUCUUGAAACUCAUUGUUUUAGUAUUGAUUAUAGCCUGGUAUGAUAAGGUAUAUAAUUUAUCUAUUUUUCUUGUUUAGGAAAGAAAUUAUUUCAGAAAUGAAAAAAAAAAUAGUCAAGAAUCAUUUCCCUGUGUAAAAGAUCUGUUCAUUUCUGUAAUUCAGCAUUGUCACUGAAGUAAAGAAUUAUUUUUUUUUUUAAAUAGACUUUAGGGCAAAGCAUGUCCAUAUUAUGUUUGAUAAUAAAGAAUGUUUUUA